CUCCCGCUCACUGGAGACUGCGGUGUCGCUGCGGGGGCGCCCCGCCCGUGGGCCCAGCGAAGGCCGGGGACCACCCAGCGGCGAGCGCCCGCCGUUACAAGCAGCGCGUGAGCCCGGGGCCACUAACCAGGCGACGGUUAGCGGGCCCCUGUGGCCGCGAGGACGCGCAGGUGUGUGCGGGGCAGCGGCGGCACACGCCGGGGGAGUAGUCUGCACACAGUGCAGGCGUGCUCGGGCAUUUGGCCGAGUCGGUCCAGAAGACAGAACCGCCCGCUCUUGGGAAUUGAGCCAAGGAAUUCCUCAGCGGCCCGGCCGCCCCCACUCCCAACCCUGCCUGGACUUUGACCUGUGGACCAGAGGGGAGUGGUGGAGCGAGCUGGCAGCACCCAGGUCCUGAGGUGGCCAGAGGCGGAGACAACAACCCACGUGGAGGCCAGCCGGAGCUGCCGGUGGGGCGUUCGGGCUUCACGGCUUCUGCCAGAGACACUCCGUCUCACAGAGGGGGCCGUGGAGUCUUGGGAAAGUCUCAAGGCUCCAGGAAGCCUUCCCUGUGGUGGCCUCAGUUCCUGUGUGUCCCCAGUGAGGGGGCUCAUCUGGCCACUGGCGAGAGGCCUUUUCAAAGUGGAAAGUUUUUCUAACUGAGAUAAAAUUCACAUAACAUAAAAUCCACUAUUUUAGCCCUUUUGAAGUGCACACUUUUUUAAGAUAUUUAAAAUGUACAACCAUCUCCGCUAGGUAGUUCCAGAACAUCCCAUCACCCCAAAGGAAACCCAGUCCCCAUCAUCAGUCACUCCCUGUCCCCUCCCCCAGCCCCCGGCCCCCACGAGCCCCUUCCUGUCCGUGGAAGAGCCUGUUCUGGAAAUUUCACACACGUGGACUCACACCCCGUGUGGCGUCUGGUGUUGGGUUCCCUCCCCGAGCGUCGUGUGUUCGGGGUCCGUCCACGGGGCGGCGGGGGUGGGCGCCUCGCUCCUGCUCUGCUCGUGGCCAAGCAAUGUUCCCAUUGGUGGUGGACACGGUGUGUUUACCUGUUCAUAUAUUGAUGGAAUUUGGUUGUUUUGAACUUUUGCCUUUGUGAUGCUGUACAAGUGUUUGUAUGGGCAUACAUUUUCAUUUUUUAAGUUAAAAUUUUUUUUCUUUAA